rnacentral:tRNA from 1 species
GGCCGACUAGCUCAGUUGGUUAGAGCGUGGUGCUAAUAAGUCACGCCAAGGUCGUCGGUUCGAUCCCGGCGUUGGCCA